UACGUAGGUGGCAAGCGUUAUCCGGAUUUAUUGGGCGUAAAGCGAGCGCAGGCGGUCGCUUAGGUCUGAUGUGAAAGCCUUCGGCUUAACCGAAGAAGUGCAUCGGAAACCGGGCGACUUGAGUGCAGAAGAGGACAGUGGAACUCCAUGUGUAGCGGUGGAAUGCGUAGAUAUAUGGAAGAACACCAGUGGCGAAGGCGGCUGUCUGGUCUGCAACUGACGCUGAGGCUCGAAAGCAUGGGUAGCAAACAGG
rnacentral:rRNA from 1 species